rnacentral:rRNA from 1 species
CCUACGGGAGGCUGCAGUGAGGAAUAUUGGUCAAUGGGCGCGAGCCUGAACCAGCCAAGUCGCGUGAAGGAGGACGGCCCUACGGGUUGUAAACCUCUUUUGCCGGGGAGCAACGGGCGUCACGUGUGGCGCCACUGAGAGUACCCGUAGAAAAAGCAUCGGCUAACUCCGUGCCAGCAGCCGCGGUAAUCCGGGGGAUGCGAGCUUUAUCCGGAUUUAUUGGGUUAAAAGGGUGCGUAGGCGGCUCGUUAAGUCAGUGGGAAAAUUUAGGGGCCAAACCCCUUCCCGCCAUUGAAACUGGCGCUCUUGAGUGGAAGAGAGGUAUGCGGAAUGCGUGGUGUAGCGGUGAAAUGCAUAGAUAUCACGCAGAACUCCGAUUGCGAAGGCAGCAUACCGGCGCUCAACUGACGCUCAGGCACGAAAGUGUGGGUAUCGAACAGGAUUAGAUACCCGGGUAGUC